AGUGAACGCUGGCGGUAGGCCUAACACAUGCAAGUCGAACGGCAGCACAGUAAGAGCUUGCUCUUACGGGUGGCGAGUGGCGGACGGGUGAGGAAUACAUCGGAAUCUACUUUUUCGUGGGGGAUAACGUGGGGAAACUUACGCUAAUACCGCAUACGACCUACGGGUGAAAGCAGGGGAUCUUCGGACCUUGCGCGAUUGAAUGAGCCGAUGUCGGAUUAGCUAGUUGGCGGGGUAAAGGCCCACCAAGGCGACGAUCCGUAGCUGGUCUGAGAGGAUGAUCAGCCACACUGGAACUGAGACACAGUCCAGACUCCUACGGGAGGCAGCAGUGGGGAAUAUUGGACAAUGGGCGCAAGCCUGAUCCAGCCAUACCGCGUGGGUGAAGAAGGCCUUCGGGUUGUAAAGCCCUUUUGUUGGGAAAGAAAAGCAGCAGGUUAAUACCCCGCUGUUCUGACGGUACCCAAAGAAUAAGCACCGGCUAACUUCGUG
rnacentral:rRNA from 1 species